GAUGAACGCUGACAGAAUGCUUAACACAUGCAAGUCGAUGGGGAAGUGGUGCUUGCACCAUGGCAACCAUGGCGGACGGGUGAGUAACGCGUAAGGGACUUACCUGCAGGACUGGGAUAACAGGGGGAAACUCCUGACAAGACCGGAUAAUGUCAUGGAGCUGCAUGGCUUUAUGAUGAAAGGAGACGCCUGCGGAGAGCCUUGCGUCCUAUUAGCUAGUUGGUGAGGUAAUGGCUCACCAAGGCGAAGAUAGGUAGCCGGCCUGAGAGGGUGGACGGCCACAAGGGGACUGAGAUACGGCCCUUACUCCUACGGGAGGCAGCAGGGGGGAAUAUUGGACAAUGGGGGCAACCCUGAUCCAGCAAUUCGGUGUGCACGAAGAAGGUUUUCGGAUUGUAAAGUGCUUUCAGCAGGGAAGAAGUAAGUGGCGGUACCUGCAGAAGAAGCGGCGGCUAAAUACGU
rnacentral:rRNA from 1 species